UAAAACUUGGCCAAUUUAUUUAUCUAUACCUAUACAUUAUUUCUCCUAAAUACCUAUACAUUAUUUCUCCUAAUUUUUUGCCACGUGGCGAAUUCUCCUUCACUUUUUCUCUUCUCUCAUCUAACUUUUUCAUCCAAUGUUUCAUCUUCCUAAACUCCCACCUCUCAAUUAAUGUGUUUACAUAAUAUCAUUUCUAUCCAAUACUUCAUCUUUUUAACCCCCCACCCAAUGCUUCAUCUUCCUAACCCCUAUCUCUCAAUUAAUAUGUUUACAUGGUUUCAUCUCCAUUUCUCCAUUUUUUUUUCAUAUUGUUUUUUUUUCUCCCCCCCCCCCAUCUCUCAAUUAAUAUGUUUACAUGAUUUCAUUUCCAUUUCUUCGUAUCUUUUUUUUCAUAUUGUUUUUUUUCUUUUUUUCUUAGCGUACAAAAAGGGCUCAUGUUUUAUAACUUUUUUAAAUUUUUUGUUGUGUGUGGAUUGAAAUUAGGGUUUCGAGGAUUGCGACAGAGCGCUGCAGAAGAAAACGGUGAUGGAUUUGGAGUCAGUGAGAAAGAAGAAGCAGAGGAUGUGGAUACGGGAUUGAUAUGGUCGUGACUAAAGAGGAGCUCGACACUAGCGGCGAAGGCGAUAUAAUGAUCGAAAUUUGCCUCUUCCACGUCGAUAGUGCAAUAAAGAUGUGUGUGGGGUAAAAAAAAUUUAUUCCUUAUUUUAUUAUUAUUACGUGUGAUUUAUUUACCAAAAUUAUAAAUUUUAUUAUAACUAUAUCUAUAUCUAUUUUAUAUUUUAUAUUUGCGUUUAUUUAAGUCCCAUAUCAAAUCAAAAAAUUUAAAAUUUUUAUUUUAUUUAUAUUUUAUAUUUUAUAGUAUAAUUCCGCCGCAAUGCGUGGGUAACUUCACUAGUAACCUUGAUUUCUGAUGGUAACUAAUU
rnacentral:lncRNA from 1 species